UGAACGCUGGCGGCAUGCCUUACACAUGCAAGUCGAACGGCAGCACGGGUGCUUGCACCUGGUGGCGAGUGGCGAACGGGUGAGUAAUACAUCGGAACAUGUCCUGUAGUGGGGGAUAGCCCGGCGAAAGCCGGAUUAAUACCGCAUACGAUCUACGGAUGAAAGCGGGGGACCUUCGGGCCUCGCGCUAUAGGGUUGGCCGAUGGCUGAUUAGCUAGUUGGUGGGGUAAAGGCCUACCAAGGCGACGAUCAGUAGCUGGUCUGAGAGGACGACCAGCCACACUGGGACUGGGACACGGCCCAGACUCCUACGGGAGGCAGCAGUGGGGAAUUUUGGACAAUGGGCGAAAGCCUGAUCCAGCAAUGCCGCGUGUGUGAAGAAGGCCUUCGGGUUGUAAAGCACUUUUGUCCGGAAAGAAAUCCUUGGCUCUAAUACAGUCGGGGGAUGACGGUACCGGAAGAAUAAGCACCGGCUAACUACGUGCCAGCAGCCGCGGUAAUACGUAGGGUGCGAGCGUUAAUCGGAAUUACUGGGCGUAAAGCGUGCGCAGGCGGUUUGCUAAGACCGAUGUGAAAUCCCCGGGCUCAACCUGGGAACUGCAUUGGUGACUGGCAGGCUAGAGUAUGGCAGAGGGGGGUAGAAUUCCACGUGUAGCAGUGAAAUGCGUAGAGAUGUGGAGGAAUACCGAUGGCGAAGGCAGCCCCCUGGGCCAAUACUGACGCUCAUGCACGAAAGCGUGGGGAGCAAACAGGAUUAGAUACCCUGGUAGUCCACGCCCUAAACGAUGUCAACUAGUUGUUGGGGAUUCAUUUCCUUAGUAACGUAGCUAACGCGUGAAGUUGACCGCCUGGGGAGUACGGUCGCAAGAUUAAAACUCAAAGGAAUUGACGGGGACCCGCACAAGCGGUGGAUGAUGUGGAUUAAUUCGAUGCAACGCGAAAAACCUUACCUACCCUUGACAUGGUCGGAAUCCCGCUGAGAGGUGGGAGUGCUCGAAAGAGAACCGGCGCACAGGUGCUGCAUGGCUGUCGUCAGCUCGUGUCGUGAGAUGUUGGGUUAAGUCCCGCAACGAGCGCAACCCUUGUCCUUAGUUGCUACGCAAGAGCACUCUAAGGAGACUGCCGGUGACAAACCGGAGGAAGGUGGGGAUGACGUCAAGUCCUCAUGGCCCUUAUGGGUAGGGCUUCACACGUCAUACAAUGGUCGGAACAGAGGGUUGCCAACCCGCGAGGGGGAGCUAAUCCCAGAAAACCGAUCGUAGUCCGGAUUGCACUCUGCAACUCGAGUGCAUGAAGCUGGAAUCGCUAGUAAUCGCGGAUCAGCAUGCCGCGGUGAAUACGUUCCCGGGUCUUGUACACACCGCC
rnacentral:rRNA from 1 species